rnacentral:rRNA from 1 species
UACAGAGGGUGCGAGCGUUGUUCGGAAUUAUUGGGCGUAAAGGGCGCGUAGGCGGUGCGGUAAGUCACCUGUGAAAUCUCCUGGCUCAACUGGGAGCUUGCAGGCGAAACUGCCGUGCUGGAGUGUGGGAGAGGUGCGUGGAAUUCCUGGUGUAGCGGUGAAAUGCGUAGAUAUCGGGAGGAACACCUGUGGCGAAAGCGGCUCACUGGACCGCUAACUGACGCUGAGGCGCGAAAGCUAAGGGGAGCAAACAGGGGAUUAAGAAACCC